rnacentral:rRNA from 1 species
AACGAACGCUGGCGGCAGGCUUAACACAUGCAAGUCGAGCGCCCCGCAAGGGGAGCGGCAGACGGGUGAGUAACGCGUGGGAACGUACCUUUUGCUACGGAAUAGCUCCGGGAAACUGGAAUUAAUACCGUAUGUGCCCUUCGGGGGAAAGAUUUAUCGGCAAAAGAUCGGCCCGCGUUGGAUUAGCUAGUUGGUGGGGUAAAGGCCUACCAAGGCGACGAUCCAUAGCUGGUCUGAGAGGAUGAUCAGCCACAUUGGGACUGAGACACGGCCCAAACUCCUACGGGAGGCAGCAGUGGGGAAUAUUGGACAAUGGGCGCAAGCCUGAUCCAGCCAUGCCGCGUGAGUGAUGAAGGCCCUAGGGUUGUAAAGCUCUUUCACCGGUGAAGAUAAUGACGGUAACCGGAGAAGAAGCCCCGGCUAACUUCGUGCCAGCCGCCGCUGUAACAC